rnacentral:rRNA from 1 species
AUUGAACGCUGGCGGCAUGCCUUACACAUGCAAGUCGAACGGCAGCACGGGAGCAAUCCUGGUGGCGAGUGGCGAACGGGUGAGUAAUAUAUCGGAACGUGCCCAGUCGUGGGGAUAACGUAGCGAAAGCUACGCUAAUACCGCAUACUAUCUAUGGAUGAAAGCGGGGGGAUCGCAAGACCUCGCGCGAUUGGAGCGGCCGAUAUCAGAUUAGGUAGUUGGUGAGGUAAAGGGCUCACCGAAGCCGACGAUCUGUAGCUGGUCUGAGAGGACGACCAGCCACACUGGGA